UAAAAAAGAUUGCGAACACGAAAAAAAACAUAAAACAAGAACACCCACUCGUUUCUGCCCUGCACUUCGACAGGCUUUUGUAUAUCUCUUCCUCUUUCGAUUCAUCGACUUCCUUAACCUACGAAGGUUGAUCGCUCACCAUCUCGACUCCGCAGUAUAGUACGAUAUCUCAUUAAUUUCCAAACUACAUGCGGCGAUGAGGAGAUGGAUCGAUUUGAAUAGCGUGUGAGAUGACGACGAAAUCGCAGUGGCCUCAGCCUCGCGAGACAGUCCAGUUAUUGCCCUCUACCUCUGUUGCUGCGUUCGGCAGCCUCCGCAGCAUCUUACCAAGUUCCGGCGACUUCGAGCUUUCUGCCCCUCACCUAAAAUCUGCUCCGUUGUGCUCCUUUCUGCUCCAAUUUGAAAUACCUUGGGUAAAAGAGAAAAUAAGAGGAAUAAAGGCCGAGUCUUCUUCCAUACAUUGAUCAAUUUCCAGAAUUUAGCGAAAUAUAUAUUUAUAUUUUUGUUCCGUUAUUGAACUCGGAUUGUUGCUGGGGCCUUCUUUAUUGGGUCCCGCCUGACACCACUCUAGAGGAUGUCAGGCGCUAGCCAGGCCAUUGAACAGCGCAUCGCCGCCUUCCCGGCGAACAAAAUGGAGGGGACGGCUGCUGAUGGGGAGCAUCAUCGACGCUCUAACGACGGCGGCGGGUGUAAUCCAGUGAAGAAACCUGGUCCUGUGUCCAUGGAUCAUGUGCUGCUCGCCCUCAGGGAAAGUAAGGAGGAGAGGGAGGUCCGGAUCCGUAGCCUCUUUAACUUCUUCGACACUGCCAAUGUCGGCUACCUCGACUACGCACUGAUCGAAGCCGGCCUGCUGUCUCUUCAUAUCCCCGCCGAGUACAAGUACGCCAGGGAUCUACUCAAGGUCUGCGAUGCCAACCGCGACGGCCGCGUGGAUUACCUGGAGUUUAGACGUUACAUGGAUGACAAGGAGCUGGAGCUCUACCGUAUUUUCCAGGCCAUUGACGUUGAGCAUAAUGGGUGCAUCUUGCCUGAGGAGCUCUGGGAUGCACUUGUCAAGGCAGGAAUUGAGAUUGAUGAUGAGGAGCUAGUUCGUUUUGUAGAGCAUGUUGAUAAGGAUAAUAAUGGUAUCAUAACUUUUGAAGAGUGGAGGGACUUUCUUCUGCUUUACCCACAUGAGGCAACCAUCGAGAACAUCUACCAAUAUUGGGAAAGAGUUUGCCUUGUAGAUAUUGGUGAACAGACUGUUAUUCCUGAAGGGAUCAGCAAGCAUGUAAAUGCAAGUAAGUAUUUAAUCGCUGGUGGGGUUGCUGGAGCUACUUCUCGUACAGCUACGGCUCCUCUUGACCGUCUCAAAGUGCUCAUGCAAGUGCAGACUAAGUGUGCUCGCAUUAUUCCAGCAAUAAAGGACAUAUGGAAAGAUGGACGGUUCUCGGGUUUUUUUAGAGGGAAUGGGCUAAAUGUGAUUAAGGUUGCACCUGAGAGUGCGAUCAGAUUUUAUGCCUACGAAACCCUAAAAGAUUUCAUUGUAACUGCCAAAGGAGAAGAAAAGAGAGACCUAGGUGCUUCUGGACGCCUGAUUGCUGGUGGGUUUGCCGGUGCAAUUGCACAGACUGCUAUUUAUCCUUUGGAUCUUGUAAAGACACGAUUGCAGACUUAUGCCUGCGAUGGAGGAAAGGUUCCAAAGCUGAGUGCACUGUCGAGAAAUAUAUGGAUGCAAGAAGGACCUCAUGCCUUCUACAGAGGCCUAGUUCCUUCUCUCUUGGGGAUGAUCCCUUAUGCUGGAAUAGAUCUUGCAGCCUACGAGACCCUAAAAGAUAUGUCUAGAACAUAUAUUCUUAAAGAUAGUGAACCGGGUCCUCUUGUACAAUUGGGCUGUGGAACAGUAUCUGGAGCUUUGGGAGCAACAUGUGUUUAUCCUUUACAGGUCAUUAGAACAAGAAUGCAAGCACAACGUGCCGAUUCAGCUAAUGCAUAUAAAGGAAUGUCAGAUGUAUUCUGGAGAACCCUCAAGCAUGAAGGGGUUUCUGGAUUCUACAAAGGCUUAUUUCCAAAUUUACUCAAAGUGGUUCCUUCAGCAAGUAUUACUUAUGUAGUUUAUGAAACAAUGAAGAAACGCCUUUCCCUUGAUUAAACGGAAAGCAUAGCUAUUAAAAUUGACAUGUCUGACUAUAGAGCAUGAAGAAGAUAAGGAGGAUAACGUAACUGAUGCAGUUGGUCAUUUCAUUAUUUUACAAAGUAGUUUACUUAUAGAUAAAGUCAAACAUCUGUUGAGCUGUACUUUGUUUUACAAUCUACUUUAGAAAUCAAUUAAGUUGGAAUGUGAAGGUGGUUUUCAAGGACUGCUCUUCCAGGAGUUGGGGGCUUGUAUAUUCCUGUGUAUUUCUCUUAGUAUGAAAGCGGCCAUAACAAACUGAGAAGAAGAUAUCUUUGAAUACCGGUUGCUAUGCUGCCUGAUAACUCUUCUACCAUCAAUCCAUAAUAUUUUUUAAAAAAGAUUGAAUUUGUGCCCAUCUUGGCAAGAGUUUUAUCAGAAAAUCCUGAGUGCAUACUUGCGCUGCUCUGUAACUAGAGUUUUUGUAUACGGUCAGUGUCAUCUAGAACGAAGUCCAUCUGCUUACUGUAACUAAUUUUAGGAAUCGUUGUCAGUAUUUAUAAGCUAAGUAUUAGGCUGAGGACUGAUUUAGACUUCAUUUGGGAUGACUUUUUUAAUGCUUUCUAUAGCAGCUUUUUAGUACAAAAAUUUCUAAUUCUGCUUUAGAAUGCAGUAAAAAAGCCGUCUCAAACGAAACCUUAAUGGAAGUAACUUGGCAUCAUUUUAACGAGCUGGGAAAACUCACUAUAAUUUUCUUGCAUGGGCAAA